AUUGAACGCUGGCGGCAGGCCUAACACAUGCAAGUCGAGCGGUAGAGAGGUGCUUGCAUCUCUUGAGAGCGGCGGACGGGUGAGUAAUGCCUAGGAAUCUGCCUAGUGGUGGGGGAUAACGUUCGGAAACGGACGCUAAUACCGCAUACGUCCUACGGGAGAAAGCGGGGGAUCUUCGGACCUCGCGCCAUUAGAUGAGCCUAGGUCGGAUUAGCUAGUUGGUGAGGUAAUGGCUCACCAAGGCGACGAUCCGUAACUGGUCUGAGAGGAUGAUCAGUCACACUGGAACUGAGACACGGUCCAGACUCCUACGGGAGGCAGCAGUGGGGGAAUAUUGGACAAUAGGGCGAAAGGACCUGAUCCAGCCAUNCCGCGUGUGUGAAGAAGGUCUUCGG
rnacentral:rRNA from 1 species